ensembl:snRNA U6 U6 spliceosomal RNA
GCAUGACUGAAAACUCGGCAGCACACAUACUAAAAAAAAAAUUGGAAUGAUACAGAGAAGAUCAGCAUGGGCCCUGCACAAGGAUGACAUGCAAAUUCGUGAAGUGUUCUGUAUUUCU